UUAUGGCUCAGGAUGAACGCUAGCUACAGGCUUAACACAUGCAAGUCGAGGGGCAGCAUAUCGAAAGCUUGCUUUGAUGAUGGCGACCGGCGCACGGGUGAGUAACGCGUAUCCAACCUUCCCUAUACUAGAGGAUAGCCCGGCGAAAGUCGGAUUAAUACUCUAUGUUGUAUUUCGAGGACAUCUGAAUAAUACCAAAGGUUUACCGGUAUAGGAUGGGGAUGCGUCUGAUUAGGUUGUUGGCGGGUAACGGCCCACCAAGCCCACGAUCAGUAGGGGUUCUGAGAGGAAGGUCCCCCACAUUGGAACUGAGACACGGUCCAAACUCCUACGGGAGGCAGCAGUGAGGAAUAUUGGUCAAUGGACGAGAGUCUGAACCAGCCAAGUAGCGUGCAAGGAUGACGGCCCUAUGGGUUGUAAACUGCUUUUAUGCGGGAAUAAAGUCCACUACGUGUAGUGGUUUGUAUGUACCGCAUGAAUAAGGACCGGCUAAUUCCGUGCCAGCAGCCGC
rnacentral:rRNA from 1 species